rnacentral:rRNA from 1 species
GAUGAACGCUGGCGGCGUGCCUAACACAUGCAAGUCGAACGGAGAUUACGGACGGAAGUUUUCGGAUGGAAGCCUGUACUUCUUAGUGGCGGACGGGUGAGUAACGCGUGGGCAACCUGCACUAUACAGGGGGAUAGCAGCUGGACACGGCUGGUAUGACCGCAUAAGUCGGUUAAAUCGCAUGAUUUGAGCGGGAAAUGAGCAAUCAGGUAUAGGAUGGGCCCGCGUCCGAUUAGCCAGUUGGCAGGGUAAAAGCCUACCAAAGCGACGAUCGGGAGCCGGACUGAGAGGUGGGACGGCCACAUUGGGACUGAGACACGGCCCAAUAUCCUACGGGAGGCAGCAGUGGGGGAUAUUGCAGGAGGGAGGAAACUCUGAUGCAGCGGCGCCGCGUGAGUGAAGAAGUAUUUCGGUAUGUAAAGCUCUAUCAGCAGGGAAGAUGAUGACGGUACCUGACAAAGAAGCCCCGGCUAACUACGUG